rnacentral:lncRNA from 1 species
AAAUAGUUUUAUUAUUAACAAAUUAAAAAAAAGAAAAAGAAAAAGCUAUCAUUUUUCUCUUCCCCUUAACCAAAUAUGCAGCAAAGAAAGGGUUUUGAAGCUGGAAAAUUUCAGCAACAUAUUUCCCUUGCUUGUAAGUGAUUUUAAUGUCUUUGCUUGAUGAUUUUUGUAUUUUUGGAACCCCUAAAGCAUAAGCUUUCAUAAGAAGGGAUUAUUUUGCAAAAUGAUGAAGAGUCUAGGGUUUUACCAUGAGAGUAAAUGUGUUGUUUGCUGUGUUUUUAUGGAAGAUUAUGAGUCCUAGUUGUCUAAUAAACAACUUUGUGAAAGAAAUUGCAUGAAAAUACCUUAAAAAGGGGUAAAUUGCUAAGUUGUAAAAUGAGUUGUAAAUGUGUAAAAUAGUUGAAAUUAUGAGUUGCUAUAGUUAUGAAAAUGGUUCAUCUAGACUCAAGGAGUAAAGAAAUGUGAUAAAAAUUAAUUAACGAGCAUUGGGGCAAAAGUGCAAAUAUGCAAAAGUUUAGGGGUCAAAAUGAAAAUUUGUAAAAAUAUGAUUUUUAGACCCAUAUGAAUAUUGUGACUGAUUGGUAGGCUAAAUGUGAUGUUAUAGAUGAUGAAAAUUGAGAUUUGGACCUAGAACGGAAAGAAAUCGAUUUAUGGACGAGUAUGUCUUUUCACCUUUGUGGUAUCGAGGUAAGUUCAUGUGUAAAUAAAGUAGCAUAAUUGUUAUUUUUAAGUUAUUGAUGUUAAAUAUAUGAUAUGCUGAUUUUUAUCAUGAAAUAUAUGCUUUGUGGUUAUUUUCGAAUAAAAUGCAAGUUAUGUGUAUUAUCUGUUAAAUAUAAAGUGCUACCGAGUAUUGGUUUCGGAAUUUUACGGAAGAUGGCAAGGAUAUGUGUUCGAGGAAAAUCCCGUUUGAACCUUAGGAAUAGAUUAGGAUACAAGUGACAUGUCACUAGGAUGGUUGAGCAUCCGAACUCGUUGAGUUGAGUCCGAGUUCACUUAUGGAUGCAAAUGUUCAAACUCGUUGAGUUGAGUCUGAGUUCGUGAGAUGUAACUAGGCAUCCGAGCUCGUUGAGUUGAGUCCGAGUUCACUUAUGGAUGCGAACGCCCGAGCUCGUUGAGUUGAGUCCGAGUUCACUUAUGGGCGGGUUACUUGGUAGCUUGGCUACAUAUGUGGCACUUAUGUGCAAACUUUCCAUGUAUCCGAAUUAUAUUCCGAUGUGUUCAACGGGUAAAAUUCUACUCAAAUGGAGGAAUACUCGAGAUGAAAGGGACGUAUUGGUAAAUGUUGUGAAAUGGAUACUUUGAACAGGUAUGUACUUAACCCUCGGGUUGAAAACUCGACAUAACAACAAUAUGGUAAGAUGGUAAAUGAAAAUGUGAUAUGAAUGUCUCGGUGAUGAUUAUACAAACGAUGUUGUAUUAAUUUUGUGAACAAUGAUCAUGAAUGAGUAAUUUAGCCUUGACAGAUUUGAGUUACUGCAGUAGUGUAACUUUGAAAAUACACUAAAAAUAGUGGAAAAUGAGUUAGAGGCAGAAUAAGAUAUGGGAUUAAAGCUCAAUGAGUCUAUUUUCACAUGAAAGAAACAGGGGAGAAAACGAAUUCCAUAUUGUGUGAUAUUUGAAUUCUUGUGAAACAGGGUCUGAAUGAAUUCGAGAUCCCCUGUUCUAAUUUUAGAAAUUCACCAAAAAUUGUACAAAAAUUAUUAAGAUUUAUACCUUACAUGCAUAGAUUCCUUAUUGAGUCUAUUUUUAUGGGAAAUAAAUGGCAUGGUCGUUUGAAUUUUGUACAGGGAGAAAUUCGGUUUGUAGUGCACAGGGGUCAAAGUGGUCAUACCCUGAAAUAGGGGAGACUUUAACUAAUAAAAUGUACUAUUUGGCUUAACCAAAAAUUCUGGAAAUUUUAUGGAAGAAAUAAAAAUAAGUCUAGUUUCAGGGAAAAUUAACGGAACUUAAUUCGGAGUUUCGUAGCUCCAGAUAUAAAUAAUUUAGUGACUGUUGCUCAGGAAGACAGCUUAUAGUGAACUUGAGAAUAUGUUGUAAACAUUGAUAAAACAAGUUAAUGAGUUGCUUAUUGUUUUCAUAUGAACUUACUAAGCGAAAGCUUACCCCCCUUCUUUCCCAUGUUUUUUAGAGUUUCCAGGUUAGCUCGGGUUGGAGGCCGUCAGAGAUAUUAUCACCCUAUCGAGUUAACGUUAUCGGAGUAAGUAAACUCAAGUGAUUCGAGUCUAUGGCAUGUAUAGGGUUUUAAUGUGAGUAUGUAAUAUUAUGAUUUAGCCAAAGGCAUUGGCUUGUUAUUAAGGUAGUAUUAGUUAUGUAAAUUGUCCUAUGUCGGCUAAUAUCGUUAUGGGCCCAUAUGAUUAUUCUUAUGCAUUUAUGUUAUUAUUUCUUGUGAUGUGGCUUACAACAUGUAUGCCUAGAGAUUGAAUUGAGAUUCAUUGAUGAGCUAGUAACUAAUGCAGGAUUAAGUGAUUGGCAAAUAGUUAAUAAUGCUUCAUGAAUGGUUUGUGAUGUAAUGAUAGUUAUGUCUAGUAUGUGGUAAUGAUAUGGGCAAAUUCUAUAAUAUUUAUUGCAUAAGAAAAUAACUUGAGCAUAACAUGUUUGUAGAUGUUUAAGAGCUCAUUUAUGUCACGUUGUAUGUUAUUGGAUAAGUAUGUAUCUAUGCAUAUGGUGUGAGAGUGAUAAAAGGCUUAAUAAUUAGCCUAUUUCUGGCCACACGGCCUGAGCACAUGAGCGUGUGAAGCCUUAACGCAAGAUAUUUUUUAAAGUUUUUCAUGAGUUCUCGAUUGGGUCCCGAAC